UACGGUGUAGCUCAGUGGUAAAGUGCUUGCCUAGCAUGCAUGAAGCCUACAUUCAAUCUUCAGCACCAUGA
rnacentral:tRNA from 1 species